rnacentral:lncRNA from 1 species
UGUUGCUUACACAGGUAUUAUACGCGUUUGUGAGGGGAAGAGUGUAUGUGCUAUAUAGAUGUUUUUAAUAAAUCAAGGAAAAGCAAAUUAUUAUAAUCCCUGCAAUGUUGCAGGGUAUAUAGAAAUUCAAUGUGUCCUUUUAUUAGUCUGUCUUUUCCUGUCUCAGCACAAAAGUAUACAAUUCUUGAACAGAUUUUUUAUUAAACUUAUGUCAUAGAUUUAUAUCACCAAUGUCUUCGUCCAAGUUGGAAAAAUCAAUGUCAAUCAACUAUUUUAAUUUAGAGGUUAUGUGCCCUGUAAAUAUUAGAUAUAUUGAAAAUUGCAUUAUUAUCACUCUCACAGGUAUAUCAGUAAAUGCAUUGUGUUUGCUCUCAAGCCCUUCAUUUUGUAAAGAUAUUUAUAAAAAGUUUUUUUUAAAACAACUAAAGAAAGAUUUUUUUUUUAGUUACUGCCUUUGUUCAGAUAGAAUAUGUGCAAUGGGGUGGACAUUGGAAUUCCAUUCCUUUAUGUAUUUUUUUUCUUGAUAAUUUGAUUAUUUACAUGAAGUCCAGUGUCUUGAUACUUUCUCCAUUCUCUAACCUUACUUAUUCUGUUUUUCAGUGCCAUUGAUAAGACAUAUGCAGUCUAGAAUCCUGAUACCAACACCAUUCUCACCUCUCCAGUAGGAGAGUUACUCAGGGAGAAUGUACAACGUUCAAAGAUUGCAUUAUAGACUAAACAGUAUACACAAACACAGUACCUUACAAGUUGUUGCAUAGAAUGUCUAUUUCUUGUGUAGUUAGAAAUUAAAAAGAGUUGAUAGAAAUACUUGUAUUGUAUAUCAGACAUUUCAAAUGAAAAUUUAUUUUGUUUUCAUUCUGAUAGGAUUAUGAUUUUUUUCUAAGAAAAAAAUAUAUAUUAAAAUGUUUUAGGUACAUGUAUUUGUAAAAAUAUAAUUUCAAGAUUAUGCAGUUUAACUUGAUGAUUAACUUAUACAGUAGAUAUUUAAAACAUAAAUAAAGUCACUGUAUUUAAGAAGCAGAAUUCAAUAAUUAAAACCUGUAAACAUGUAGCAGAAUUUUAGAAAUAGUGAUGCCAAUCUUGUGGUGUUGAUUUGUAGAUAACUUUGAAGAUUUUAAUGGUUUACUUGACCUUGUCCUCAUUUUCAUGGUUCAUCAAUGUUUUUGUAAUACCGGUAUAAAGCCCUCAAUCACAAAGUUCCAAAUACCAUUCAAUCAAAAUCAGUAAAGCCGGGGAGAUGUUUCAAUAUGGCAAAUCUUUUUUGUUGAUUUUGAUAUGAUUUUUUAAAUAACUUCCUUGAUUCAUUGUAACCAGUGAAGGGGUCACUUUUUUUACAAUUACAAAAUAUUUUAUUUAACUUUUUGUAGGAAUUUAAACGUGAAAACAAAUCUAAUAAUCAAGAGAAAAUAUUUGAUUUGAAACUUCAUUCAAGUAACUUUGGUUAUUCUAAGAGACUAUGUUAUUGAAUGUGACAGUUUAAAAGCUGUUUUAUUUACAGUUUUGUAUUGAACAUGUCUUGUCAGUUCUAGCCAAAAUUCAUAUAUAAUACAAGUACACAAGAAAAAGGUGAUUAAAAUGAAAUUUUGACAUGAAUUGACUGGCUGAGAUAUCUUGUUUUUGAAUGGUUUGAUUGUUCACCUUAUCUGUUUAACUUAUGAAGACUAAAGCAGAGUUGUCUCCUCAUUGUUUCAUAUCUAUAACUUAUGUUACUGGGUUGUAUUUGGUGCAUGUAUAUUGUGGUUUGUGUUAAUGUUCAAUUUUCUCUUUUUAUUAUAUUAUUUGUUUUUUUCAUGGAAUGAAAUGAGUUGUUGAAUAAUACUGUCGGUUUAAAAGUAUUGAUAUUUUACUGAAAAUAAAAUUAUUUAAGAUACAGAAAUGUAUAAAUAAAAUAUAUAAAAUGAAUUUAAUAAAUAAAAAAAAUAAGUUUACCAUAUUUAUUCUUUUGAGAAAAGAACAAUUAUGUAUUAUUGAAAAUACUUAUUACAGAGUUUUAUAGUACCUGUGAAAAGUAAUUGCAAUAUAUGUAGUAUUAUUUUUCAAAUAAAUGCAUUUUGUCCAUUUAAACUAUUCUUUAUUUGUAAUACUUUUUUGGUGAAGUUUAUUUUAACUGUAAAAUGAAUUGCAAACAAAUUGAAAUAAUCUUUUAGUAUUUUAUAAAUUACUUUUGAUUUAUUUAUAUAAAUCGUUUAAAAUUAUUAAGGACUAUGUUGUAGAGGAUUGUUAUAAAACUUACUAUAUUUUUGAGUAAAACUCAAACUGUACCUGCUUUUAAACUUACAAUUAAAAGACAAAAUGAAAUGUCUGUCAUAUUAUAAUAAAAAUGUAUUGUGAAGACUGAGAUCUUGAAACAUGAGAAAAUUUGAAAACGUUAGAAAAUAAAAAAUACCUUCUAUAGCCACCAUAUAUUACACUAGAUCUCACAAAGUCUAUGACAGCAUAUAUAAAGAUCUAUAAACACACCUGUACUCACUUUCUUAGAUGUGUGUAAUAUAGAUGGAAUAUAUUUUAAAACAAUAAAUUGUUAUUUAAGUGAAAAAUCUUUGACUUUUUAUUAUACUCAACAUCAUUGUCUUAUGUUUCAGUAUACUAAAAUUGGUGAUGAAUUAUUUUGUUUUGUGAUUCAUUGAUUCAGAAUUUACA